rfam:Paenibacillus darwinianus strain Br genomic scaffold scaffold9, whole genome shotgun sequence.
UCCAUCGUGAGAUGGAAUCUGAAGGAAGCUGGAGGCAAAUUUCCGGCCCGAGGAACACGAACAUCAUCAGGCAUCAACGGGAUGGGACAUGCAGACCGAGCAGAAAAGCUUAGACGCUAUAUCAUGGGGUGGAUCAACUCAAGAUAGCGGAUAUGAAGAGUCUGCUCCAAAC